UACGGGGGGAGCAAGCGUUGUUCGGAUUUACUGGGCGUAAAGGGCUCGUAGGCGGUUUGUCGCGUCGGGAGUGAAAACCCAGGGCUUAACCCUGGGCUGGCUUCCGAUACGGGCAGACUAGAGGUAUGCAGGGGAGAACGGAAUUCCUGGUGUAGCGGUGAAAUGCGCAGAUAUCAGGAGGAACACCGGUGGCGAAGGCGGUUCUCUGGGCAUUACCUGACGCUGAGGAGCGAAAGCGUGGGGAGCAAACAGG
rnacentral:rRNA from 1 species